rnacentral:piRNA from 1 species
UCGCAUUCAACCUACAAGGACU